CGCAUAUGGAGAGAUCGAGAGAGGGGAAAGCGAGAAGAGAAGACGCGGCCACGCAGGCGGAGGCAGGAGGAUGAGGGUGUUGGGCAAGCACGUCUUCCCGAGGCAGGUGGCGCUGCUCGCCGCAGGGGUCGUGUUCCUCGGGGCGACGACGUACGACGUGCACCGGUCGAUCAAGAACAACGAGCAGCCGCCGACCAAGGAGCAGAUGGAAGCCCUCCAGGACUACAUCAACUCCAAGAAGCAAAACUAGUAGCUAGAAAUAAUCAUCCAUGGUUCCCAAUAAUCCGAUCAAUGCGGAUCAGCUUGUGUGUGUUCGUCUGUAAUCUGAACAGAAUUGGAGAUGAGACCAAAGGUGGAUGGGUGGAGGAGGUGGGGCGCGCACGCCAUGUGUUCGGCGAAAUUCCCCUGAGGACUCCACUGCGUGUAAGUGUAUCUGUAAAUGGCUUGCUUGGUACAGGUAUGUUAGUACAGUUACGAACGUGUAAGCUUAACUAUGUCCAUAAAUAAUUCCAUUGUGUAGAACAUGAUUCAUCUUAUCAUAAACUCCAAACUGUAUUGUGCUCA